rnacentral:lncRNA from 1 species
AGCAGAAGGCUGGACCGUCUCCUCCUUGGACGCGCUGCUCCGAAGGGUUGCGGAGAGGCUUCCCCGGAACCAGGGCCACACGGGGCACAAAUAACGCAGGAUGCAUUCUUGUGAAGUCAGAUCCAGAUGUUAUCUUUAAAAAUUAUGUGAUUUUGAGUUGCAUGGAACACGCCGAAUCAGCCAGCUGCAGACAGGCAGGUCUGUGCACACCCUACCAAGGUCUUGAGUCCUGCGGAAGAUGCCGAAUCACCCCACUGCAGACAGGCAGCCACCUGGUUCCACACUACAAAGACGCAGAAGACACCAGACCACCAGACCAAGAUACUGAGUCCCGCUACUCCCGCCCCAGAGGCGCCAACAGCCCCCCCGCCAGUCGAAAUGAGAAAACACAUAAAUAAGUCUCAAAACCAGACUUCCAGAUCACCUACAGCAAC